AAGAAUUUCGGUAUGGGAUGGGGAUGCGUUCCAUUAGUUAGUUGGCGGGGUAACGGCCCACCAAGACAACGAUGGAUAGGGGUUCUGAGAGGAAGGUCCCCCACAUUGGAACUGAGACACGGUCCAAACUCCUACGGGAGGCAGCAGUGAGGAAUAUUGGUCAAUGGACGAGAGUCUGAACCAGCCAAGUAGCGUGAAGGAUGACUGCCCUAUGGGUUGUAAACUUCUUUUAUAUGGGAAUAAAACGUUCCACGUGUGGGAUUUUGUAUGUACCAUAUGAAUAAGGAUCGGCUAACUCCGUGCCAGCAGCCGCGGUAAUACGGAGGAUCCGAGCGUUAUCCGGAUUUAUUGGGUUUAAAGGGAGCGUAGGUGGAUUGUUAAGUCAGUUGUGAAAGUUUGCGGCUCAACCGUAAAAUUGCAGUUGAAACUGGCAGUCUUGAGUACAGUAGAGGUGGGCGGAAUUCGUGGUGUAGCGGUGAAAUGCUUAGAUAUCACGAAGAACUCCGAUUGCGAAGGCAGUUCACUGGACUGCAACUGACACUGAGGCUCGAAAGUGUGGGUAUCAAACAGGAUUAGAUACCCUGGUAGUCCACACAGUAAACGAUGAAUACUCGCUGUUUGCGAUAUACAGCAAGCGGC
rnacentral:rRNA from 1 species